UAUCUUCAGGGCAGGGUGAAAUUCCCGAUCGGCGGUAUAGUCCGCGAGCGCAUGGGCGCAGGGCUUGGCAUAUGUUCAAGCCGGGAUUUGGUGAGAUUCCAAAACCGACAGUAUAGUCUGGAUGAAAGAAGAUG
rnacentral:ncRNA from 1 species